GACGAACGCUGGCGGCGUGCCUAAUACAUGCAAGUAGGCCGCAGUUGCGAACGGGUGAGUAACGCGUAGGUAACUACCUAUUAGAGGGGGAUAACUAUUGGAAACGCUAGCUAAUACCGCAUACUAGUAGAUGGACCUGCGUUGUAUUAGCUAGUAGGUAAGGUAAUGGCCUACCUAGGCAACGAUAAAUAGCGGACCUUGGAGGGUGAUCGGCUACACUGGGACUGAGACACGGCCCAGACUCUUACGGGAGGCAGCAGUAGGGAAACUUCGGGAAUGGGUGGAACCCUGACCGAGCAACGCCGCGUGAGUGAAGAAGGUUUUCGGGUCGUAAAGCUCUGUUGUUAAGGAAGCGGUACUUAACCAGAAAGGGACGGCUAACUACGUGCCAGCAGCCGCGGUAAUUC
rnacentral:rRNA from 1 species